rnacentral:rRNA from 1 species
UUCCGGUUGAUCCUGCCGGAGGCCACUGCUAUUGGGAUCCGAUUAAGCCAUGCGAGUCGAGAGGGUUCGGCCCUCGGCAGACUGCUCAGUAACACGUGGAUAACCUAACCUUAGGUGGAAGAUAACCUCGGGAAACUGAGAAUAAUAUUCCAUAGAUCUAGGAUGCUGGAAUGCAUCUAGAUUGAAAGUUCCGACGCCUAAGGAUGGGUCUGCGGACUAUCAGGUUGUAGUCAGGGUAAAGACCUGACUAGCCUACGACGGAUAUGGGUUGUGAGAGCAAUAGCCCAGAGACGAUAUCUGAGACACGAUAUCGGGCCCUACGGGGCGCAGCAGGCGCGAAAUCUUCACAAUGUGCGAAAGCACGAUGAGGGGAUCCCAAGUGCUGGCACGUAAGUGUCAGCUGUUUCUUAGUCUAAAAAACUGAGAGAGUAAGGGCUGGGUAAGACGGGUGCCAGCCGCCGCGGUAAUACCUGCAGCUCAAGUGGUGGCCGCUAUUAUUGGGCCUAAAACGUCCGUAGCCUGUUUAGUAAAUGCUUGGGUAAAUUGUGUAGCUUAACUAUACGAAUACCGGGUAGACUGCUAAACUUGGGACCGGGAGAGGCUAGAGGUACUCCUGGGGGUAGAGGUGAAAUUCUGUAAUCCUAGGGGGACCACCAGUGGCGAAGGCGUCUAGCUAGAACGGGUCUGACGGUGAGGGACGAAGCCCUGGGGCGCAAACCGGAUUAGAUACCCGGGUAGUCCAGGGUGUAAACGCUGCUUGCUUGAUGUUAGUUGGGCUCCGAGCCCAACUAGUGUCGGAGAGAAGUUGUUAAGCAAGCUGCCUGGAAGUACGGUCGCAAGACUGAAACUUAAAGGAAUUGGCGGGGGAGCACAGCAACGGUGGAGCGUGCGGUUAUUGGACUCACCGCGGA